UUUGACCUUUUGCCCAUGACGCACGAUGCACUUGCCUCUCGCGCGGUGAGAUAAGGCGGCUAACUGCGGAGCUCAAGCUAGCGACGUUCCAGAUUACAAAACAGCUUUUGGUGAACUGAAAAAAAAUUAUUUUUGGUGAAAACACUGGAGUCGGCUUGCUACUUGUCAGAUAACGGAAAACGUUAAAUGUUGUAUCGUUUCUCCUUCAGCACGGAGUCGCGGUUUAAGCAGAAAUGAAAUAUAACAAGACAGGUGUCUUAGAGAAUAUAAGUCUCUAAGUCCGCCUUUCUCUGAAUAUCUACUGAGCGGGAGGAGACAGACAGUUUAAAGACGCCACGUAAAGAGAGACGUCAGAAACAAAAAAGAAAGGCAGUAGACUGUUGACAAACUGGGUCAACUGUACCAAUCAUUCACAGUGAGGUUAUUAACAUUCUUCAAGACAUGACCAACAGAAAACUGUUGCUAUGAACAAAAGAGAACAAAAACAGCAAAAAAUGCUUAAAAGUUUGAAAUUUGUUUUUAAACAGUUAAAAGGCAGUUAAUGAAAUAAAUAAGACUUCACUCAACACAGAGAAGAUGAGACAAUGAGGAAAAAAAGAAAAGAGAAACUGACAAGAAAAAAAGAAGAGGAAAGAUUGAAGAAAAUGUACAUAGUUCCACGUUAAAGUUUGAUGCAGCUCUGUUUUUCUGAAUGGACCGUCUUCAUCUCCACUGCAAGUACAGCAACCCAAGCAGAUGUUCUUUGAUUGUAUGUCUCACAAUUUUGUAAUCUAUCAUUGUUAAUUAAACUCUGAGAGCUGUGUGA